AGCAUGAUCAGGAUGUAUCUGGUGGAUCAGGUUCUAUCGGAGGUCAGCACGGAGACCAUGAUGCAAGAUCUUUGGAAGAAGCUAGAGAAGAUGUACAUGGGCAAAAACAUGAUGAACAAGCUCUAGCUGAAGAAAUAGUUGUACAGCUUGCAGAUGUCCGAAGGAGGUGAUCUAGUUAGUUACAUUCAAUGGUUCAAUUAGGUGUGUUUUAAUUUGAUGAAUGUGGAUGUGAAGAUCAAGGAGGA
rnacentral:lncRNA from 1 species